GACUACCGGGGUAUCUAAUCCCGUUUGAUCCCCUAGCUGUCGUCCUUGAUUGUCAGAAAACUAUAGUUAGCUGCUUUCGCUUUUGGCGUUCCUACCGAUAUCAACGGAUUUCACCCCUCCACCGGUAAUUCCACUAACCCCUAGUAAUCUCCAGCGUAGCAGUAUCCGACCCCUUCCUCUGCUUGAGACAGAGUCUUUGAAAUCAGACUUACUACACCAAAUACGGACUCUUUACGCCCAGUAACUCCGGAUAACGCUUGCGACCUUCGUAUUACCGCGGCUGCUGGCACGAAGUUAGCCGUCGCUUAUUCCUGAAGUACCGUCAUUCGUCUUCCUUCAGAAAAGCGGUUUACAAUCCAUAGACCUUCAUCCCGCACGCAGAAUUGCUGGAUCAGGGUUUCCCCCAUUGUCCAAGAUUCCCCACUGCUGCCCCCCGUAG
rnacentral:rRNA from 1 species